GGACAAACCCACCCAAGUCAUUCUACUGCUGUUUCCUGUGUCCACAUGGUAAACUCUCAGCUUCUGGCCAAAGACCUUGGUGAACCCUGCUGACUUGCUCACUACUGGCAAGCAAAGUGUUCACUGAUGAAUGAACAAUUACAUUUACCCACAGACUGAAAUAUGAUGUUAUUUUGUUUUGACUGAAAUUCCAACUCAGUGUGAGAACACUGUGAAAAAAAAUCAUGAGAAGUAUCUUCAUAGGUGAGUCUUUUCACACAUCUGCACUAGUGAAUAUUUGAAUUUUAAAAGCCACUCUAGACCUACAUAAGUGAUGAACGAUGUGUACUUGAAAACAGUACACUCUUGCACAGCUGUCCUUGGAGCUUCCCGGUGGAGCUGUUAAACUUGCCCUCCGCUGGCUGUUUUCCACAAAGUAAUAUGGUUACAUAGAUUCACGGCUCAUGGCAAUGUUUCAUUAAGACAGUUCUUGAUGGCCGCUCCACACCUUUCUCACCACAUCUCACAGGCUGCCCUGCUGAGCCAGGUCUGCCUGGAACUCGGGGCUCCUGCGCAGACCCCCAUUUUGCUCCAGAACACCCAGGAAGGCGGGGCUUGGGCUGGAAUGGGGACAGCGAUUACCCUCUAUUCAGGCCUUUGGUGCCAGCUGAGGUCGAUACUGGUGCCAGGAUCGAGACUGUGCCCAUCCCAUCGAGAGCGGGCAGAUGUGGGGGCGCACUGGACCGGGCCUCCCAGGCUGACACCCAUUCACAGCAGCCUGAGCCUAAUCCGCCACUGCUCGCCUUCCUCCGACGUCUCCACCUAAACCAUCCUUCUGCACAUUGUGACCCAUCACUCCGCCCUUUGUCCACACAUCUCCUUCCCCACACCCACAACACGGUGGUCCCUGCCCCACAAUGCAACGGAAACCUUGCCUCCGGAGUGCUAGGCGGAAGCUGCGAGGCCUGUGUAGACACUGCCUCCGCAGGGCUGGCGCACUCCUCCGAGGGCCGACUCAGGGGUGGGUUUUUUUAAGUUGCAAAAUAAAAGUCAUCACCUGUGGGCCCUGAAGGCCUCUUUUCCACUGG